GAUGAACGCUGGCGGCGUGCCUAAUACAUGCAAGUCGAGCGAACAGACGAGGAGCUUGCUCCUCUGACGUUAGCGGCGGACGGGUGAGUAACACGUGGAUAACCUACCUAUAAGACUGGGAUAACUUCGGGAAACCGGAGCUAAUACCGGAUAAUAUAUUGAACCGCAUGGUUCAAUAGUGAAAGACGGUUUUGCUGUCACUUAUAGAUGGAUCCGCGCCGCAUUAGCUAGUUGGUAAGGUAACGGCUUACCAAGGCAACGAUGCGUAGCCGACCUGAGAGGGUGAUCGGCCACACUGGAACUGAGACACGGUCCAGACUCCGACGGGAGGCAGCAGUAGGGAAUCGUCCGCAAUGGGCGAAAGCCUGACGGAGCAACGCCGCGUGAGUGAUGAAGGUCUUCGGAUCGUAAAACUCUGUUAUUAGGGAAGAACAAAUGUGUAAGUAACUAUGCACGUCUUGACGGUACCUAAUCAGAAAGCCACGGCUAACGACG
rnacentral:rRNA from 1 species